rnacentral:rRNA from 1 species
GACGAACGCUGGCGGCGUGCUUAACACAUGCAAGUCGAACGGGCCCCUGGUUUCGGCCGGGGGUGAGUGGCGAACGGGUGAGUAACACGUGGGUGACCUGCCCCCUACUCUGGGAUAACUCCGGGAAACCGGGGCUAAUACCGGAUACGACCUCAUGCUGCAUGGUGUGGGGUGGAAAGGGUUUUCUGGUGGGGGAUGGGCCCGCGGCCUAUCAGCUUGUUGGUGGGGUGAUGGCCUACCAAGGCGUUGACGGGUAGCCGGCCUGAGAGGGCGACCGGCCACACUGGGACUGAGACACGGCCCAGACUCCUGCGGGAGGCAGCAGUGGGGAAUAUUGCGCAAUGGGCGGAAGCCUGACGCAGCGACGCCGCGUGGGGGAUGACGGCCUUCGGGUUGUAAACCCCUUUCACCAUCCACCAAGCCUGGGGUUGUUGCCCGGGGUGAGUGUAGGUGGGGAAGAAGCACCGGCUAACUACGUGCCAGCAGCCGCGGUAAUACGUAGGGUGCGAGCGUUGUCCGGAUUUAUUGGGCGUAAAGGGCUCGUAGGCGGCUUGUCGCGUCGGGAGUGAAAGCCCGCUGCUUAACGGCGGGUUGGCUUUCGGUACGGGCUGGCUGGAGUGCGGCAGGGGAGACUGGAAUUCCUGGUGUAGCGGUGGAAUGCGCAGAUAUCAGGAGGAACACCGGUGGCGAAAGCGGGGUCUCUGGGCCGUUACUGACGCUGAGGAGCGAAAGCGUGGGGAGCGAACAGGAUUAGAUACCCUGGUAGUCCACGCUGUAAACGUUGGGCGCUAGGUGUGGGGUCUGUUUCCACGGGUUCCGUGCCGUAGCUAACGCAUUAAGCGCCCCGCCUGGGGAGUACGGCCGCAAGGCUAAAACUCAAAGGAAUUGACGGGGGCCCGCACAAGCGGCGGAGCAUGCGGCUUAAUUCGAUGCGACGCGAAGAACCUUACCAGGGCUUGACAUGCACGGUGCCGCACCAGAGAUGGUGUUUCCUUUGGGGUCGCGUACAGGUGGUGCAUGGUUGUCGUCAGCUCGUGUCGUGAGAUGUUGGGUUAAGUCCCGCAACGAGCGCAACCCUCGUCCUGUAUUGCCAGCAACACUCCUUUGGGGUGGUUGGGGACUUGCGGGAGACUGCCGGGGUCAACUCGGAGGAAGGUGGGGAUGACGUCAAAUCAUCAUGCCCCUUAUGUCCUGGGCUGCACGCAUGCUACAAUGGCCGGUACAGAGGGCUGCGAUGCCGUGAGGCGGAGCGAAUCCCGGAAAGCCGGUCUCAGUUCGGAUCGGGGUCUGCAACUCGACCCCGUGAAGUCGGAGUCGCUAGUAAUCGCAGAUCAGCAACGCUGCGGUGAAUACGUUCCCGGGCCUUGUACACACCGCC